UUUAAUUGAAGAGUUUGAUCAUGGCUCAGAUUGAACGCUGGCGGCAGGCCUAACACAUGCAAGUCGAGCGGCAGCGGGAAGAGGCUUUCCUCUUUGCCGGCGAGCGGCGGACGGGUGAGUGAUGUCUGGGGAUCUGCCCGAUGGAGGGGGAUAACUACUGGAAACGGUAGCUAAUACCGCAUAAUGUCGCAAGACCAAAGUGGGGGACCUUUAGGCCUCACACCAUCGGAUGAACCCAGAUGGGAUUAGCUAGUAGGUGGGGUAAUGGCUCACCUAGGCGACGAUCCCUAGCUGGUCUGAGAGGAUGACCAGCCACACUGGAACUGAGACACGGUCCAGACUCCUACGGGAGGCAGCAGUGGGGAAUAUUGCACAAUGGGGGAAACCCUGAUGCAGCCAUGCCGCGUGUGUGAAGAAGGCCUUCGGGUUGUAAAGCACUUUCAGCGGGGAAGAAGGCAAUGGCGUUAAUAGCGCCAUUGAUUGACGUUACCCGCAGAAGAAGCACCGGCUAACUCCGUGCCAGCAGCCGCGGUAAUACGGAGGGUGCGAGCGUUAAUCGGAAUUACUGGGCGUAAAGCGUACGCAGGCGGUCUGUUAAGUCAGAUGUGAAAUCCCCGGGCUCAACCUGGGGACGGCAUUUGAAACUGGCAGGCUAGAGUCUCGUAGAGGGGGGUAGAAUUCCAGGUGUAGCGGUGAAAUGCGUAGAGAUCUGGAGGAAUACCGAUGGCGAAGGCGGCCCCCUGGACGAGGGCUGACGCUCAGGUACGAAAGCGUGGGGAGCAAACAGGAUUAGAUACCCUGGUA
rnacentral:rRNA from 1 species